UACGGAAGGUGUGAGCGUUAUCCGGAUUUACUGGGUUUAAAGGGUGUGUAGGCGGUUGUAUGUGUCGGUGGUGAAAGCCUAGUGCUUAACACUUAGAAUUGCCAUCGAAACUGUACAACUUGAAUAUUGAGGAGGUAAACAGAAUUCGUAGUGUAGCAAUAAAAUGCGUAGAUACUACGAAGAAUACCAACAGCGAAGGCAGUUUAUCAUUCAAUUAUUGACGCUGAGGCAGGAAAGCGUGGGUAGCAAA
rnacentral:rRNA from 1 species